rnacentral:rRNA from 1 species
AGAGUUUGAUCAUGGCUCAGAUUGAACGCUGGCGGCAGGCCUAACACAUGCAAGUCGAGCGGUAGCACAGGAGAGCUUGCUCUCUGGGUGACGAGCGGCGGACGGGUGAGUAAUGUCUGGGAAACUGCCUGAUGGAGGGGGAUAACUACUGGAAACGGUAGCUAAUACCGCAUAACGUCUUCGGAUCAAAGUGGGGGACCUUCGGGCCUCACGCCAUCAGAUGUGCCCAGAUGGGAUUAGCUAGUAGGUGGGGUAAUGGCUCACCUAGGCGACGAUCCCUAGCUGGUCUGAGAGGAUGACCAGCCACACUGGAACUGAGACACGGUCCAGACUCCUACGGGAGGCAGCAGUGGGGAAUAUUGCACAAUGGGCGCAAGCCUGAUGCAGCCAUGCCGCGUGUGUGAAGAAGGCCUUCGGGUUGUAAAGCACUUUCAGCGAGGAGGAAGGGCAGUGUGUUAAUAGCACAUUGCAUUGACGUUACUCGCAGAAGAAGCACCGGCUAACUCCGUGCCAGCAGCCGCGGUAAUACGGAGGGUGCAAGCGUUAAUCGGAAUUACUGGGCGUAAAGCGCACGCAGGCGGUUUGUUAAGUCAGAUGUGAAAUCCCCGCGCUUAACGUGGGAACUGCAUUUGAAACUGGCAAGCUAGAGUCUUGUAGAGGGGGGUAGAAUUCCAGGUGUAGCGGUGAAAUGCGUAGAGAUCUGGAGGAAUACCGGUGGCGAAGGCGGCCCCCUGGACAAAGACUGACGCUCAGGUGCGAAAGCGUGGGGAGCAAACAGGAUUAGAUACCCCGGUAGUCCAA